UUUAGACGGAGAGUUUGAUCCUGGCUCAGGGUUAACGCUGGCGGCGCGCAUAACACAUGCAAGUCGAGCGAGGGCUUAUCUCCCGCAAGGGAGGUGAGUUCCUAGCGGCGAACGGGUGAG
rnacentral:rRNA from 1 species